GUUUUCUGCGGAGCUGGCAUUUGGGUUUGGAUUUAAAGGGCAAGAAGGAGCCAGACAAGCCAAGGUGUAAGAGAAGAGUCCUCCAAGCAGCAGGGAAGCAAGUGCAAAGGUCCUUGCAGAAGCGAGCUUGGCAUAUUAGAGGGACAGAGGGAGGCCGGAGCAACUGGAGGGUCUUCAGAGACUAUCAAGUGCCAACAAGGGGAUUACCCCUCUGCCCCUCUAAAGGAUUGCAAGAAAGAAGACACCAAAUCCAUGGCAUUUUUUCCCUUAGGAAAGAAGGGAGAUAAUGAGAAGCCUCCACUUGGUAUUCCUUGGAGCAGCUGGAAGCUAAAAACCAAAUGUGGGAACUGUGAAUCCUAUCUCUGGGAUAUGUUUUCUCAGGAAAUGGAGGAAAUGGGUGGGCACGGGUGGCAAAAUAUUCCAGGGGAAUACUUCUUCCUGGGCCUUGUGGGGAACAACUCCCAAAAGGCCAGUGGUUCUCAGCUUUAAGCCUGUGUUAGAAUCACCUGCAGGGCUUAUUAAAACACAGAUUGCCGGGCCUUACCCCCAGAGUUUGAUUUAGUAUUUCUGGGAGUUGGAUCUAUAAUUUGCAUUUCUGAAAGUUCCCAGGUGAUACUGAUGCUCCUGGUCCCAGGACCACAGACAAAUUCUCCUUCUUGUAGCCCCUCAUUCACUCUGCGUAGGAGGCAUGGCUCAUCUGGCUGGUGGGUUUGGGAGGAGGAGCAGACCAUGCUCAGUUAGCCCUCCCCACUCUCCCUUUCUCUCUCUCCCCAUCGCCCUAGCUGCAGAGCAUAUUCAGACAGCUCUCCAAUCAGUUCAUCAGUAAUAAAGGUGACAUGCUGAUCCUCAUCUGUUUUUCUCUUGCAUCUGCCAAUUGAUUCUGCACUUGAGAGGGGAAUAAGUAUAUUUAUUUAUUGGGUUUCCCUCAAAUUCCAACAGAGAAGUUGGUAUCAGUUGCAAAACAAUCAACUGGCAUCCGGGCCACACAGCAGCAUAGGAAUCUUGGUUUUAGCUUCCACUAAAAUAUCAAUUAUUUGAGGGCAAAAAAUGUCCAAUUCCUGGGCCUUUAAGAUAGGAAGUCAGGUCUGUGGAUGGGGUGAGGUCACCAGGAUGAGGUCACAAAGGCAUUGAUGCCCCUUUGUCCUAUCAUGUGACCACUUGUCACACUUCCAUCAAACAGUACCUGCCCCUUAGGUGUGCUAGGGAAUAAAUGAAAUGCCUGGGACAUCAUCGUUAAGUGGCAUCUGAUGCAUAAGCAGUGCCCUAGGAAUGGGGUUGCCUGCCUUGGUCUCUAAAGGAUGGGUUCAAAAGGCAAGAGCAGCACACAAGAAGAUAGCUUCAAGCAGGAGAUAAAGCUUGGCCCAGGGCCCAAAGGGGAUACGACCCUUCAGCAAACUGACAUGCUGAAAGCUGCCCUAUGGAGAGGCUCAUGUGGCAAGGAACAGAGGGUGGCUUCUGGCCAACACCCAGUGAGGAACUCAGGCCCUCAGUCAAACAGCCUGCAAGGAACUGAACCCUGCCAAUAACCCUGGGUUGAAAGCUUCCCUUUGGAGAAGAACUGAGGGCUGUCUCUGGUCAAUAGCACUGAGGAACUGAAUCCAGCAAACAAUUAUGUGAAGAAACUUGGAAGCUUGUCCUCCCCUCUAGUUGAGCUUUGAGAUGACUGCCGCCCUAGUGGACACCUUGAUUGAAGCCUUAUGAGAAACCCUAAGCCAGAGAACCCAAUUAAGCUACGCUUACAUUCCUAACACAGAGAAAAUAUGAGCUAAUAAAUGUUGUUUCAAACCACUAAGCUUUGGAGUAAUAUGUGACACAGCAACAGACACCUAACGCACCUGCCCUAAGGUCGGGCUACACUGCAUUUUCCCCAGAAACAUUACACUCUCUCCUCCCCAGGGCCUUUGC
rnacentral:lncRNA from 1 species